CACAUCUAAGGAAGUUGUGCAGUGUGUUAAAGUGAACGUUGUGCAACAAACAGAUUUCUUUCUUCUGGAAGAUCCAGACCCAACCGCAGUACAGAAAUACUCAGCUUGGCGUAAAUGGCCAGAAAAAUCAAACUUUUCUAACUUCAUGCUCACUCACUAUAUGUCUGAGUCAUUGCUGAAAUUAAUGGUUAAACCGGCGAGUCACGCCUCUUGUUCACAAUUUCAAGAUUAUAUCAGUCAGUAGGAGUAACGCAAGAAGGGCAAAUCAUUCUCACAGAUGGAGCUGCCACCUCGCCCACAACUGUUUGACUUCAAUGGAGUCUCCAUGACCAACGUCUUCACUGACAAUUGGGACAAUGUACAGAACUUCAAAGCAAGACCAGAUGAUAUUCUUAUCGCAACUUACCCUAAAGCAGGAACAACAUGGGUCUCUUACAUCCUAGAUCUUCUGUAUUUUGGGAACAUGAGUCCAGGCCGUCAGACAUCCAUCCCUGUUCAUGACAGAGUUCCCUUCCUGGAGAUCUGC